rnacentral:rRNA from 1 species
UUCGCCUACGGGGGGCAGCAGUAGGGAAUCUUCCACAAUGGGCGAAAGCCUGAUGGAGCAACGCCGCGUGGGUGAAGAAGGUCUUCGGAUCGUAAAGCUCUGUCCUCAAGGAAGAUAAUGACGGUACUUGAGGAGGAAGCCCCGGCUAACUACGUGCCAGCAGCCGCGGUAAUACGUAGGGGGCUAGCGUUAUCCGGAAUUACUGGGCGUAAAGGGUGCGUAGGUGGUUUCUUAAGUCAGAGGUGAAAGGCUACGGCUCAACCGUAGUAAGCCUUUGAAACUGGGGAACUUGAGUGCAGGAGAGG